rnacentral:rRNA from 1 species
UACGGGGGGGGCAAGCGUUGUUCGGAAUUACUGGGCGUAAAGGGCUCGUAGGCGGCCAACUAAGUCGGAUGUGAAAUCCCCAGGCUUAACCUGGGAACUGCAUCCGAUACUGGAUGGCUUGAAUCCGGGAGAGGGAUGCAGAAUUCCAGGUGUAGCGGUGAAAUGCGUAGAUAUCUGGAGGAAUACCGGUGGCGAAGGCGGCAUCCUGGACCAACACUGACGCUGAGGUGCGAAAGCGUGGGGAGCAAACAGG